rnacentral:rRNA from 1 species
UGGGGAAUUUCGGACAAUGGGCGAAAGCCUGAUCCAGCAAUGCCGCGUGUGUGAAGAAGGCCUUCGGGUUGUAAAGCACUUUUUGUCCGGAAAGAAAUCCUUGGCUCUAAUACAGUCGGGGGAUGACGGUACCGGAAGAAUAAGCACCGGCUAACUACGUGCCAGCAGCCGCGGUAAUACGUAGGGUGCAAGCGUUAAUCGGAAUUACUGGGCGUAAAGCGUGCGCAGGCGGUUUGCUAAGACCGAUGUGAAAUCCCCGGGCUCAACCUGGGAACUGCAUUGGUGACUGGCAGGCUAGAGUAUGGCAGAGGGGGGUAGAAUUCCACGUGUAGCAGUGAAAUGCGUAGAGAUGUGGAGGAAUACCGAUGGCGAAGGCAGCCCCCUGGGCCAAUACUGACGCUCAUGCACGAAAGCGUGGGGAGCAAACAGGAUUAGAUACCCUGGUAGUCCACGCCCUAAACGAUGUCAACUAGUUGUUGGGGGAUUCAUUUCCUUAGUAACGUAGCUAACGCGUGAAGUUGACCGCCUGGGGAGUACGGUCGCAAGAUUAAAACUCAAAGGAAUUGACGGGGUCAUAGCUGUUUCCU